rnacentral:rRNA from 1 species
GACGAACGCUGGCGGCGUGCUUAACACAUGCAAGUCGAACGGAAAGGCCCUGCUUUUGUGGGGUGCUCGAGUGGCGAACGGGUGAGUAACACGUGAGUAACCUGCCCUUGACUUUGGGAUAACUUCAGGAAACUGGGGCUAAUACCGGAUAGGAGCUCCUGCUGCAUGGUGGGGGUUGGAAAGUUUCGGCGGGUGUGGAUGGACUCGCGGCUUAUCAGCUUGUUGGUGGGGUAGUGGCUUACCAAGGCUUUGACGGGUAGCCGGCCUGGGAGGGUGACCGGCCACAUUGGGACUGAGAUACGGCCCAGACUCCUACGGGAGGCAGCAGUGGGGAAUAUUGCACAAUGGGCGGAAGCCUGAUGCAGCAACGUCGCGUGCGGGAUGACGGCCUUCGGGUUGUAAACCGCUUUCGCCUGUGACGAAGCGUGAGUGACGGUAAUGGGUAAAGAAGCACCGGCUAACUACGUG